rnacentral:rRNA from 1 species
GAUGAACGCUAGCGGCAGGCUUAACACAUGCAAGUCGAGGGGCAGCAUAAUGAAGUAGCAAUACGGAAUUGAUGGCGACCGGCGCACGGGUGCGUAACGCGUAUGUAACCUACCUCUAACAGGGGGAUAACACUGAGAAAUUGGUACUAAUACCCCAUAACACUUCGGAGGGCAUCCUCUGGGGUUGAAAGUUCCGGCGGUUAGAGAUGGACAUGCGUUGUAUUAGCUAGAUGGUGAGGUAAUGGCUCACCAUGGCGACGAUACAUAGGGGGACUGAGAGGUUAACCCCCCANACUGGUACUGAGACACGGACCAGACUCCUACGGGAGGCAGCAGUGAGGAAUAUUGGUCAAUGGACGCAAGUCUGAACCAGCCAUGCCGCGUGCAGGAUGACGGCUCUAUGAGUUGUAAACUGCUUUUGACAAGGGUAACCCUGGGACUGUCCCAGGCUGAAAGUACUGUACGAAUAAGGAUCGGCUAACUCCGUG